rnacentral:rRNA from 1 species
AUUGAACGCUGGCGGCAGGCUUAACACAUGCAAGUCGAGCGGGGGAGGUUGCUUCGGUAACUGACCUAGCGGCGGACGGGUGAGUAAUGCUUAGGAAUCUGCCUAUUAGUGGGGGACAACAUUCCGAAAGGGAAGCUAAUACCGCAUACGCCCUACGGGGGAAAGCAGGGGAUCUUCGGACCUUGCGCUAAUAGAUGAGCCUAAGUCGGAUUAGCUAGUUGGUGGGGUAAAGGCCUACCAAGGCGACGAUCUGUAGCGGGUCUGAGAGGAUGAUCCGCCACACUGGGGCUGGGACACGGCCCAGACUCCAACGGGAGGCAGCAGUGGGGAAUAUUGGACAAUGGGCGGAAGCCUGAUCCAGCCAUGCCGCGUGUGUGAAGAAGGCCUUUUGGUUGUAAAGCACUUUAAGCGAGGAGGAGGCUACUAGUACUAAUACUACUGGAUAGUGGACGUUACUCGCAGAAUAAGCACCGGCUAACUCUGUGCCAGCCGCCGCGGUAACAC